rnacentral:tRNA from 1 species
GGAGAGAUGUCUGAGUGGUCGAAAGAGGCGGUCUUGAAAACCGUUGAGCCGCAAGGCUCCGUGGGUUCGAAUCCCACUCUCUCCG